rnacentral:rRNA from 1 species
AUUGAACGCUGGCGGCAGGCCUAACACAUGCAAGUCGAACGGUAACAGGAAGCAGCUUGCUGCUUCGCUGACGAGUGGCGGACGGGUGAGUAAUGUCUGGGAAACUGCCUGAUGGAGGGGGAUAACUACUGGAAACGGUAGCUAAUACCGCAUAACGUCGCAAGACCAAAGAGGGGGACCUUAGGGCCUCUUGCCAUCGGAUGUGCCCAGAUGGGAUUAGCUAGUAGGUGGGGUAACGGCUCACCUAGGCGACGAUCCCUAGCUGGUCUGAGAGGAUGACCAGCCAGACUGGAACUGAGACACGGUCCAGACUCCUACGGGAGGCAGCAGUGGGGAAUAUUGCACAAUGGGCGCAAGCCUGAUGCAGCCAUGCCGCGUGUAUGAAGAAGGCAUUCGGGUUGUAAAGUACUUUCAGCGGGGAGGAAGGGAGUAAAGUUAAUACCUUGGCUCAUUGACGUUACCCGCAGAAGAAGCACCGGCUAACUCCGUG